rnacentral:rRNA from 1 species
CCUACGGGUGACUGCAGUGGGGAAUAUUGCACAAUGGGGGAAACCCUGAUGCAGCGACGCCGCGUGAGUGAAGAAGUAUUUCGGUAUGUAAAGCUCUAUCAGCAGGGAAGCAAAUGACGGUACCUGAUUCAGAAGCCCCGGCUAACUACGUGCCAGCCGCCGCGGUAAUACGUAGGGGGCAAGCGUUAUCCGGAUUUAAUGGGUGUAAAGGGAGCGUAGACGGGAGCACAAGUCUGGAGGGAAAUGCCGGGGCUUAACCCCGGAACUGCUUUGGAAACUGUGCAGCUAGAGUGGAGGAGAGGUAAGUGGAAUGCCUAGUGUAGCGGUGAAAUGCGUAGAUAUUAGGAGGAACACCAGUGGCGAAGGCGGCUUACUGGACUGUAACUGACGUUGAGGCUCGAAAGCGUGGGGAGCAAACAGGAUUAGAUACCCCUGUAGUC